GAUGAACGCUAGCUACAGGCUUAACACAUGCAAGUCGAGGGGCAGCAGGAAGGUAGCUUGCUAUCUUCGCUGGCGACCGGCGCACGGGUGAGUAACGCGUAUCCAACCUGCCCGCUACUUGGGAACAGCCCUCUGAAAGGAGGAUUAAUGCCCGGUGCCUUGCUUUUGCCGCAUGGCUUUUGCAAGAAAGAUUCAUCGGUAGCGGAUGGGGAUGCGUCUGAUUAGUUAGUCGGCGGGGUAACGGCCCACCGAGACGACGAUCAGUAGGGGUUCUGAGAGGAAGGUCCCCCACAUUGGAACUGAGACACGGUCCAAACUCC
rnacentral:rRNA from 1 species